CCCUUAUCAAGAGAGGUUGAGGGAGCGGCCCUAUGAAACCUCAGCAACCAGCAGCGUAAAGCUGAAAAGGUGCUAAUUCCUGCGAGUCCACAUAAUGACUUGUAAAGAUAAGAA
rnacentral:ncRNA from 2 species